CUCAUGUUACCUUUGUUCCAAAAUGCGUAAUCAAGGUUGAAAUGUAAUAAAGCAUCGCUUUUCAAUGAAUGUACAAUAAAAGAACAAGAAGAAGCGGCACAUUAAGAAAUAACGGUUCCUUAUAUUUGUUUACGGAGUGAUUUAAUAAGUGCAAGAACUCGCGUAAUUUUUAUGAACAAUUGUGUGAAAUUUUGGAAAUUAGGAAAAAAAAAAAAUGAAUACGUAAAUAUAAGUUUAUAACAUGCAUUAGAUUAAGUGCCCGAAAAAUGUGAAGUGAUCGAGUUUUAAAGUGUUUAUGCCUGCAUUAUUGCUUCAUUGGUGGAGCAAAACUAUUUUUUUUAUUGAAAGGUGGAAGCGUUUAAAACAUAUUUAUUGCUAUUCAGACUUUUUGUUGAAAUUCGACGAGAAAUAUUUCAGGAUAAACAAAUUUCCCAAUCUGCUCCCGCUGUAAUCUGUGCUGAUCUGAAACUCAUCUCCAUCUGAUAGAUGGAGAAUCGCACAAGUUCUCUUCCAGCUGCAGCUCUUCAAAGAAACAUAGAAAUAAUGAGAUAUACCAUAUUCAUGUCACGCGGUGGCGAUCAGAAAGAAAUGAGGAAAUACAAAGAGACAGAGAUGUUUGGCCGCAGUCUAAUCAGCAAGUGUAGGUGCUUAACCGGUCAUUGCUUAGUCCACUUUCCUCGCUAUUCAAGACACUUCAACGCGUACACACAAAACAGUAAAUAUGCUCAAUUAUAUGCCAGCGCGUGCAACAUAAUCGGAUUUUCAAUAAAAUCGUGUAAACUGUCAGCUAUGAAUGUCAAUGUGUUGCCGCUAACUGAUUGCAUUCUACCCACAUAUCUAUAAUUUUGUUC